AUUUUGGUUGCUUACUUGCUUAUAGUCUUGAUAUUCUGCUUAUACCACUUGACAGAUAUCAUUUUAUUGUAAUUUCAGUUCAACUCAACUUGACUAAGUCUUAAUCCCAACUAAUUCAUGGUUGACUAUAUGUAUCUUUCCCUAUCAUUAUAUCGUAUUGAAGGUUAUACUCUCUUGUUAACCUGAGUUAAAUCACUCUCUCAUUUGUGCUAGGAUUCUCAUUCAUGCAUUGUGAGUUGUGACUAAGUUUUAUGCUAGCUAUUAAUUUAUAGCACCCACCACUUUUCUUUGGGCUUGCCAUCAGCUGUAUAUAAAGAUUAGGACACUAAACAUCACACAGGCAGAGUUCCAUUUGACUUUGAACAUUUCUUCUUGUUAUCUUUCUGUGUGAACAGGCAGCUUGUGUUUCUAUUUAAUUAGGGGUCACGGUUGUAAUUGCUGAUCAGCCCAAUUAUGGAUUGCUUUCUACACUUCAACAUAAGAUAGCUAUUUAUUUCAAGGAUCAGUCAGUUUUUCAAGUUUUCCAGAUAUCCUAACUUCACUGCACCAACUUAAAAAUGAUGAUUCCAAUUUCUUGGAGGCCAGUUAUUCAGGAUCCCUUGACAAUUCAAAUAUUUUUUGAUUGUUAUGCAAUCACUUAAAGCCAUUUUUCGAAAGAGGAAAGGAAUUAUCGGACAUUCAAGGAACUGAACAACCUAUGGUGAUAGUGAAGUUGAUUUUUCUGCGCACUUUGUACAAUUGGAUGGCUACUAUGGGUGGCAGGUCUUGCUGAUGAUGAUAAUUAUCAUGCAAUUUGUCAUCUGCUUGGCCGCUUUAAAGUGAAUUAUCAGGUGACUUUGACUAUAUGCUCACUCAAUACAUGCAUUCAACUGCUUCUGUUGCGCCUUAUGUCGUCUGUUUGGAUUAAUUGCAUCCUGUUGAUUGGUACAAAAGUCCCUUUUCAAAAGACACACAGAAUUUGCUUUUAUAUUCCUUCCCUCUCUUCUUUGCUUCAAAAAUGGUGGACAGAAGGGGUAGCAGGAAGACACCACUGAGCAUCAACAAUCGCCAUUACUGUCUUCUCCAAGACCUCUCUGCUCCUCCAAGUACUCUUUCGACGAUGAUGAUAUUCCCCAAUUCUCAGGGAUCACUGAUUUCAAUUCUCCUCCACUUGAUACUCCUCUCUUUCUCUCUUCUCACUUCUUUUUUCCAUAAAUAUUUUUGAAAUGUUUUAGAGGAAAUGUUGAUUACUUUACUGUAUUGAAGUAGGAGAAGCGAAGCUGUCGAUUAUCAACAAAGAUGAUGAUAAUAUUCCUGAUGGUUCUGAUUCUCUGCUCGGUAAUUCUUUAUUUUCCCCUUUUUAUAUCUUGCACGCCAUGCGUAUGUAUAAAUUUCUGUAUGAAUGGCAGUGUUUUUGUUGUUUUAUUAUGUGGUUGAUUUUUAUUUUUAUUGGGUGGGUUUUUAGAGUAAAGAGACUGUUUAGAUGUUUAUAGAAUCUGCUAGUGAGAUUAGUUUUCUUCCCGGAGUGUUUGGCUAUUGAUGUGGAGAAUUUAACUUAGAAUAAUAUCUCGUAUCCUGUCAUAAAUGAAAUGAACAUUUACUGUUAUGAAAAAAGUUUACAAGUUUUAUAAAUUUAGAGAAUGAAGAAAAAAAAAAAAGAGAAAGUGGAUGAAGACUUUAUAAGGGGAGUUAUCUAUUUGGAUUUCAUCUAGUGGAAUGUGAUUAGAUUUUCUAGCUCUAUAACUGGUAAUAUGGUUACUUUUCUCUUUUUGUGGUACUUUUGUAUUGUUAAACAUUACUUUGAUAGUUUCUUUAUAAGGUUGGGAAAAAAAGAUCAGAAUAUAGAUGGUAAGAUUACUUUAGUGUUGGCUAUGUCUAUGGAAUUAUGGAACAUGGAUAUUUUGAGUUAUCCUCUAGAAGAGACUUUUCUUGACAUCUAGGUUAGUUUAAUUACUUACAUCCCAAAAGAGGACGCCAUUGCUGGACUUCAUAAGCUCAGCCACACUAACCUCCUUAUUCCUACAAAAUCCAAACAAGUUAGGGUAGCUGACUGCAAGAGAUGUCGGUUGAUUUUACAAUUCACAAGGUUAAUUGCUGUAUUUUAUUGAUUCAAAACCCCAUUAAAGGUUAAUAUAACAAAAAAUCGUAAUAAAUGAGGCAAAAGCAGAAAUUUGGGAAGUUUUUGGGUUUCACCUUAAAUAUUUGUGAGAGUGGUUGACUUUCAGCUAACAUUGACAGUCACCGUUUUCAUAAAUUGUUUCUUUCAAGCACAUCUCUUGAUUAUUUUUAAACUUGACCGAAUUGCACUUUGUCUGAAGGAAACUAUCUUAUAAACUAUUUGGCAACCAGAGGACCUAACUUGGAGCCCUUUGUGGUUGGAUCCCUAAUCCAACUUCUUUAUCUUGUUACAAAGUUUGGGUAGCUUGAUGAAGAUAGAUUCAAAGAGGUGAUGAACUUUUUAAGCCAGGCACCAUAUCAUUGUGCCAUUGGUUUGAAGAUAUUGAAUCGGCUUGUUUCUGAGAUGAAUCAGGUUGGCUGUUCUUGACUGAGAGGGAGAGGAGGAAUGCUUGAAUUUCCAAAGAACUAAUUCUGUUCUAUCUUCUGUUAUGCGAUAAUGUUUCUUCUUGAAUUGGGCACUUAAUGUCCUCUACUUUUAGUUGUAGCUAGUUUGUAAAAUGAAUGUUAGAGUGAUAGCUAGGCUGUACUUUGAUAUUUUGCUUAUACCACUUGAUAGAUGUCAUUUAAUUGUAAUUUCGGUUCAACUUAACUUGACUAAGUCUUAAUCCCAACUAAAUUAUGGUUGACUAUAUGUGUCUUUUCCUAUGAUAAUAUUGUAUCGAAGGUUAUACUCUCUAGUUAAUCUGAGUUAAAUCGCUUGUUUGUGCAAGGAUUCUCAUUCAUGCAUUGUCAGUUGCGACUAAGUUUUAUGCUAGCUAUCAAUUUACAGCACCCCCCCACUUUUCUUUGGGCUUGGUACCAGCUGUAUAUAACGAUUAGGACACUAAGCAUCACACAGGCAGAGUUCCAUUUGACCCUAAACGUUUCUUCUUGUUAUCUUUUUGUGUGAACAAGUAGCAAGUGUUUCUAUUUAAUUAGGGGUCACAGGUGUAAUUGCUUGCUGAUCGGGUUUCUAAUAUAAAUUCUUUUAGUUAAAUUUUUCUUCUUUUUUCCAUAAUAGACAAAGAUUCUUGGUCAAUGUUUUGAUUACAAAUAUGUCAUCUUAGUUCGUCAAUUGUCAGCAAGUUGCAAGAGCUGGCGCUUUCAGUAUCCUUUAAUGUUUUAUCAUUUGAUUUAAUGGGGACAUCAUUUAAUGAAAGUCAGAUGAGAUUGGUAUGGUACAGGUAUAUUUAACUUUUUUUGAGGCAAACGAUUUUGAUAUAAUUCAUUAGCCUUUUAUGUUUUUUUUUUGGGUACUUUUUUGUUAAAACUAUUGUUGCCUUGUGGUGUACAGAUUCCAAUUUCUUGAAGGCCAGUUAUUCAGGAUCCCUUGACACUUCAAGUAUUUUUUGAUUAUUAUGCAAUCACUUAAAGCCAUUUUUUGAUAGAGACGAUGAUGGUAUUCCCAAUUUUCAGGGAUCACCAAUUUAGAUUCUCCUCCACUUGGAAGGUGGACCCUCCAAUUCAGUGCAGAUGACAUUCAACUCUCUUUGGCUGAAGUCAAACUUGCUGGGAUAGUGCAUAUUGUUGCUGCCAUUCUUAAGACUUACCAAAUUUCUGGCUUCAGUGGAGAAUUGGAAGAAGUAUUUGAUGCAAAACUUUCAGCUCGUGUUUGGCAGUUGAUAAAUGUGAAAAAUAGUGGGUAGGUUACACAGUCAGGAAGAUUUUUACAAAUUUGAAGUCGUACUCAGAGUUUAAAGUGGUUAUUCACCAUACCUUGAGUGUUUUCUUGGAAAUGACAUCUGGGUUAGUUUUAUUACUUCAGAUUCAGUUCGGAAACUUUUUAUUUUUUAUUAUAUUAAUUUUCUUGAGGUCAAGCUUUGGUGCGAUGGCAAGUGCCUUCCGCCAAAUGAGAUGUUUCACCAGUUCAAGUAUGGGAAUCAACCUCUGAAAUAAAUUGGGGAUAAGUUUUCCUACCAUGAUUCCUCCCAAAACCCGCAUCAGUGCGAGAUUAGUGCACUGGGUGCGACCUUUUUAUUAUAUUAAUUCUCUCUGCUGUGUAUUUACGUCAACAUGCAAUUUUGUGUAGAUAUAUGUUGGGAAAGCUGCUUUCUGAAGUUGGAUAUCAUUAAAUCCAUUAUUUCAUGAAAAUAUCACUCUAAGAUAUACAUAUAUAUAUUUAUAUAUAUAUUUUUUUCUUUUAUUUUGGCUUUGUUCUCAUAUUUAAAUUUACACACACCUGUAAGUUACUAUUGGCCAAUAAUUUGGUAAUAUGUUUGUUAGUUUUCCAUUUUCAGAAAGAGCACUUCCAUUUCUUAGAUGAUUACUGAAGUUCUCAUAGUUGAACAACCUUUUAUUUCACUUUGAUUUUCAUUGAGGGCAGCCUUUUGAUGUUCAAAUCUUCAAUGGAUCCUCUUCCACUGGCAAUGCGGUGGAUGAGUUUAGAAGUGUGGAAUACUUGCAGAUAGACUUUAACACUAUUAAAUUUGCAACAAAUGACUUUUCUGAUGCAAAUAAGCUUGGACAAGGUGGAUUUGGUGUUGUUUACAAGAUCCUAUCAAGUGUGCACAUCUAGAUUGGGCAAGACGCUUCAAAAUCAUAGAAGGCAUUGCUCAAGGGCUUUUAUAUCUUCAUGAAGAUUCUUAGCUUCAUAUUAUUCAUCGUGAUCUCAAAGUGAGAAAUAUCCUAUUAGAUUCUGAAAUGAAUCCAAAAAUUCCAGAUUUUGGUAUGGCAAAAUUGUUUGCACUUGAUCAAAGUGAAGAAACUACAAAUAGAAUUUUUGGGACCUAGUAAGUACCCUUGUUAGGUAUGCUUAAUGUUUACUUUGUACAAAAGAAACAACCUGAAAGUCCUAACAAGUAUUGUUGAAAAUUUAUGAAUAUGCAAUGGAUAUAUGUCUCCAGAGUAUGCAAUGCAUGGACAAUUUUAAGUGAAGUCUGAUAUCUUUAGUUUUGGUGUACUAAUUAUAGAGAUAAUAAGUGGACAGAGGAAUAGUUGCUUCCGAAAUGGAGCGAGGAUUGAGGACCUCCUACGCUAUGCAUGGACAAAUUGGAAACAAGGUACAGCUUCAAAUCUUGUUGAUCCCAAAUUGAAGGCAGAUUCAACUACUAAAAUAAUGAGAUGCAUUUUCACAGGAUUACUAUGUUCAAAGAAAUGUAGCUGAUAGACUAACUAUGGCCUCUGUUAUUUGUAUGCUUAAUAGCUUCUCUAUUACUCUACCAAUUCCUUUAGAACCUGCAUUUUUUAUAAGCGAAAAUGCACUUUUGGUCCCUACAUUUUGGGUCAUUUAUCAAUUUGGUCUCUAAAUUAAUUUUGCUCCUAGGUCAGUCCUUGAUUUUUUAAAAUCGUUUUUAAACUGG